rnacentral:rRNA from 1 species
UACGGAGGGGGCUAGCGUUGUUCGGAAUUACUGGGCGUAAAGCGCACGUAGGCGGCUUGGUAAGUUAGAGGUGAAAGCCUGGAGCUCAACUCCAGAAUUGCCUUUAAGACUGCCGAGCUAGCAGGUGAGAGAGGUGAGUGGAAUUCCGAGUGUAGAGGUGAAAUUCGUAGAUAUUAGGAAGAACACCGGUGGCGAAGGCGGCCCACUGGAUCGGCACUGACGCUGAGGUGCGAAAGCGUGGGGAGCAAACAGG